AGUGAACGCUGGCGGUAGGCCUAACACAUGCAAGUCGAACGGCAGCACAGUAAUAGCUUGCUCUUACGGGUGGCGAGUGGCGGACGGGUGAGGAAUACGUCGGAAUCUACUUUUUCGUGGGGGAUAACGUAGGGAAACUUACGCUAAUACCGCAUACGACCUACGGGUGAAAGCAGUGGAUCUUCGGACCUUGCGCGAUUGAAUGAGCCGAUGUCGGAUUAGCUAGUUGGCGGGUGAAAGACCUACCAAGGCGACGAUCCGUAGCUGGUCUGAGAGGAUGGUCAGCCACACGAGAAGUGAGACACCGUCCAGACUCCUACGGGAGGCAGCAGUGGGGAAUGUUGGGCAAUGGGCGCAAGCCUGAUCCAGCCAUACCGAGUGGGUGAAGAAGGCCUUCGGGUUGUAAAGCCCUUUUGUUGGGAAAGAAAAGCAGCAGGCUAAUACGCCACUGUUGUGACGGUAACCAAAGAAUAAGCACCGGCUAACUUCGUG
rnacentral:rRNA from 1 species